CGACCGGGUAGAUAGGUCAUCGGUGGAAGUUCGGUAACGGAUGGAGCUUGAUGAUACUAAUAGGUCGAGGGCUUGAUUU
rnacentral:rRNA from 1 species